CGAAGUCCUUCCUCCCACUUCAUGAUGGUGUGAUUGUUUGUUCAAUCCUGACGCCCUCUGCCCAGAAUACUCAGAGCUUGACUUGCUGGCGUGGCAAGUGGAGGUUCCACCAAGAUCUGAGGAAAGGAGGUGCUGAUAAACCCAUCUGGAUUCCUGAAAGAUAUUGUCGAACGAUCAACCCCCUGGAAGACCAUGGAACAUCUCAACAAAAUAACAAAGAAGUUCUUAAUUGUUCUUACAGUAAUUGUGUCCCGAGCAACUGCUGGAAUUCCUCCUUCACUUCUGCGCUGGUUGUGAGGAUCCCUACACUUCUUCCUAUGCCUGUGAAUGUAUCAGAAGAUUGAGUAGAACUGACAUUAUACAGAAGCAAAAGAGAUUUUGGAAUAGCAGCAGCUAUCAUCACUAGCAUAGCCAUCGCCUCUACUGCUACCGUCGCUGCUGGCAUCGCCUGUCUCAGACUGUGGUUACAGCUUCCACGGUUGAUACCUUGUCAGGAAAAGUUAGUGAAGCCCUGCAAACUCAGAACUCAAUCAAUGCACACAUACAAUUUGGACUAAUGAACUUAAAUCAACAAACUGCCUUGUUACAAAAACAAGUUGAUGCCCUUUGGGCUAUGCAACAGCUAACAUGUUCUUAUUUCUUUCAUCAUAUUUGUGUUACCCAUUACCAUGUACAAAAUGCCUCCAAUACUGUAAAACAAUUGAAUGCCUUUCUUAAGGGACCAUGGAAUGUGACCUUUGCAAAUUUUACUAAGGUUCUUACUUGGCAAAUUGUAUCUAUUAAUGAAAUCAGGGUCCCUGCCAUAUCAGCAGAAGGAUGGUGGAAUACCAUGGUAGGAAUUGGAGGAUGGACACAGAGGUGGACAGGCUCCUUAUCACUGACUGUCAAUUUCAUACUCAUUAUGAUCUUUGUGUUUUUCAGUCUUGUGUAGAAAGCUCAGAGGAAUUCAGUCCUGACAAACUGUUACCCAACAAGUCCUUUUAAGUUUUCACACAACCAUACAGAUGUCCCACAGGUGUGGCCUCAGAUGCUGCACAAAAGACGAAGGUAUUCUCAGUGAUGGGCAACUUUCU